UAGGGAAUCUUGCGCAAUGGGCGAAAGCCUGACGCAGCAACGCCGCGUGGGGGACGAAUGCCUUCGGGUUGUAAACCCCUUUCAGCAGGGACGAAAUUGACGGUACCUGCAGAAGAAGCCCCGGCCAACUACGUGCCAGCAGCCGCGGUAAUACGUAGGGGGCGAGCGUUGUCCGGAUUCAUUGGGCGUAAAGAGCUCGUAGGCGGCUUGGCAAGUCGGGUGUGAAAACUCCAGGCUCAACCUGGAGACGCCACCCGAUACUGCUAUGGCUAGAGUCUGGUAGGGGAUCACGGAAUUCCUGGUGUAGCGGUGAAAUGCGCAGAUAUCAGGAGGAACACCAGUGGCGAAGGCGGUGAUCUGGGCCAGUACUGACGCUGAGGAGCGAAAGCGUGGGGAGCAAACAGGAUUAGAUACCCCUGUAGUCC
rnacentral:rRNA from 1 species